rnacentral:SRP_RNA from 1 species
GCUGGGCGUGGUGGCCCACGCCUGUAAUCCCAGCACUUUGGGAGGCCGAGGCGGGUGGAUCACCUGAGGUCAAGAGUUCAAGACCAGCCUGACCAACAUGGUGAAACCCUGUCUCUA